rnacentral:lncRNA from 1 species
CACACACACACAUGCACACACAGCACACACACGAGCACACAGCACACACAAAGACACAGCACACACAUGCACACACAGCACACACACGCAAACACAGCACACACACGAACACAGCACACAGCACACACAUGCACACAGCACACACGCAUGCACAGCAGACACACGAACAGCACACACAGCACACAAACAGCACACACAUGCACACACGGCACACACACUCAUGCACAGCACAUACAUGAACACAGCUCACAGCACACAAACACGCAACACACACGUGCA